GACGAACGCUGGCGGCGUGCUUAACACAUGCAAGUCGAACGGAAAGGCCCUGCUUUUGUGGGGUGCUCGAGUGGCGAACGGGUGAGUAACACGUGAGUAACCUGCCCUUGACUUUGGGAUAACUUCAGGAAACUGGGGCUAAUACCGGAUAGGAGCUCCUGCUGCAUGGUGGGGGUUGGAAAGUUUCGGCGGUUUGGGAUGGACUCGCGGGUUAUGAGCUUGUUGGUGGGGUAGUUGCUUACCCAGGCUUUGACGGGUAGCCGGCCUGGGAGGGGGGCCGGCGACAUUGGGACUGAGAGACGGCCCAGUGGCGUACGGUAGGCAGCAGUGGAAAAUAUUGCACAAGGGGCGGAAGCCUGAUGCGGCAACGCCGCGUGCGGGAUGACGGCCUUCGGGUGGUAAACCGCUGUCGCCUGUGACGAAGCGGGAGUGACGGUAAUGGGUAAAGAAGCACCGGCUAACUACGUG
rnacentral:rRNA from 1 species